rnacentral:rRNA from 1 species
UACGAAGGGGGCGAGCGUUGUUCGGAUUUACUGGGCGUAAAGGGCGCGCAGGCGGCUACAUUUGUCAGGCGUGAAAGCCCCGGGCUUAACCUGGGAACUGCGUUUGAUACGGUGUGGCUAGAGUUCGGGAGAGGAGAGUGGAAUUCCCAGUGUAGAGGUGAAAUUCGUAGAUAUUGGGAAGAACACCCGUGGCGAAGGCGGCUCUCUGGGACGGUACUGACGCUGAGACGCGAAAGCGUGGGGAGCGAACAGG